ACCUUGCCGGCGCCGCCGCUCUUCUUCUCCACGUUCUUGAUGACGCCCACGGCCACAGUCUGCCGCAUGUCGCGCACGGCGAAGCGGCCUGCGGGGAGGGAUGCGUAAACUGCGGGGGUGCCCAGAACGCAGUGCGCAGCUUGGAUCAACCACCGACUUGGAUUACCCAGCUCACCGAGGGGUGGGUACUGUGAGAAGCUCUCCACACACAUGGGUUUUCCGGGAACCAUCUCAACAAUGGCUGCAUCACCAGACUUCAGGGACUUGGGAUUGUCCUCCAGCUUCUUGCCAGAACGCCGGUCGAUCUUCUCCUUCAGCUCGGCAAAUUUGCAGGCAAUGUGGGCUGUGUGACAGUCGAUAACAGGCGAGUAGCCAGCACUGAUUUGCCCGGGGUGGUUCAGGAUGAUGACCUGAGAGUAGAGUUGAAGAUAGCCAUGAGGCAGGUGUCCUGGGCCAGGGCCAGUAUUAAUUAGGUGGGUGGGUCCAGUCACAAGGUCACCUCCAGAUCCUGACGUUUUUGUGCAAGGAAUGCUCAGGUCAUAGGGACCCCACUCAUACCCCAACACCUUGCUAAGCAUUAAACCAUUAAACAAUCAACAGAUAAGGACCAGGACAGCACAGACCCAUUGCACAGCCAGGACAAAAUUGGACCUCAAUUAUAGUGCUUCUGUUACAUUUUCAAUUAAUACUGUUCUAAAAAUUCUUGUCCCAUGAAGAGGUGAUCAAAAAGGGUUCAAUAAAAAUGUAGAGAAAGAGGCCAGCAAGAUGACAAAAGAAGGUGCUUGCUGCCAGGCCUUGAGGACCUGCGUUCAAUUCCUGGGAGCCACAUGAUGGAAGAAGAGAACUGAUUCCAAGUUGCCCUCUGACCUCUACAUAUACACUGUGGCACAUGCACAGGUGCACACACACAAAAUAAAUAAGAUGUGUUUUUUUUUAAUUAAGAGAAGAAA